UACGUAGGUCCCGAGCGUUGUCCGGAUUUAUUGGGCGUAAAGCGAGCGCAGGCGGUUCUUUAAGUCUGAUGUGAAAGCCCGGAGCUCAACUCCGGAAAGGCAUUGGAAACUGGUUAACUUGAGUGCAGUAGAGGUAAGUGGAACUCCAUGUGUAGCGGUGGAAUGCGUAGAUAUAUGGAAGAACACCAGCGGCGAAGGCGGCUUACUGGACUGUAACUGACGUUGAGGCUCGAAAGUGUGGGUAGCAAACAGG
rnacentral:rRNA from 1 species